AUUGAACGCUGGCGGAAUGCUUUACACAUGCAAGUCGGGCGGCAGCGCGUUCCCGAAAGGGGAUGGCGGCGAGCGGCGAACGGGUGAGUAAUAUAUCGGAACGUAUCCUGAAGUGGGGGAUAGCCCGGCGAAAGCCGGAUUAAUACCGCAUAAGCUCUGUGGAGGAAAGUGGGGGACCGCAAGGCCUCACGCUUUAGGAGCGGCCGAUAUCAGAUUAGCUAGUUGGUGGGGUAAAGGCCUACCAAGGCGACGAUCUGUAGCUGGUCUGAGAGGAUGAUCAGCCACACUGGGACUGAGACACGGCCCAGACUCCUACGGGAGGCAGCAGUGGGGAAUUUUGGACAAUGGGGGCAACCCUGAUCCAGCCAUUCCGCGCGAGUGAAGAAGGCCUGG
rnacentral:rRNA from 1 species